UGCAGUCGACGCGAAGAUUUUCUUCGGAUCCUGAGUAGAGUGGCGCACGGGUGAGUAACACGUGGAUAAUCUACCUGAUGAUUUGGGAUAACAUUUCGAAAGAGAUGCUAAUACCGAAUAAGCCUACAAUUCCCUCGGGUUUAGUAGGAAAAGAUGGCCUCUUCUUGAAAGCUAUUGUCAUCAGAUGAGUCCGCGGUCCAUUAGCUAGUUGGUGGGGUAAUGGCCUACCAAGGCUUCGAUGGAUAGCUGGUCUGAGAGGAUGAUCAGCCACACUGGAACUGAGACACGGUCCAGACUCCUACGGGAGGCAGCAGUGGGGAAUUUUGCGCAAUGGACGAAAGUCUGACGCAGCAACGCCGCGUGAGGGAUGAAGGCCUUUGGGUCGUAAACCUCUUUUUUCAGGGAGGAAUAAAAUGACGUGUACCUGAAGAAUAAGCAUCGGCUAACUCCGUGCCAGCAGCCGCGGUAAUACG
rnacentral:rRNA from 1 species